rnacentral:rRNA from 1 species
CUACGGGUGGCAGCAGUGGGGAAUAUUGCACAAUGGAGGAAACUCUGAUGCAGCAACGCCGCGUGGAGGAUGACACUUUUCGGAGCGUAAACUCCUUUUAUAUAGGAAGAUAAUGACGGUACUAUAUGAAUAAGCACCGGCUAACUCCGUGCCAGCAGCCGCGGUAAUACGGAGGGUGCAAGCGUUACUCGGAAUCACUGGGCGUAAAGAGCGUGUAGGCGGAUAGAUAAGUCAGGAGUGAGAUCCUAUGGCUCAACCAUAGAACUGCUCUUGAAACUGUCUAUCUAGAAUAUGGGAGAGGUAGAUGGAAUUUCUGGUGUAGGGGUAAAAUCCGUAGAGAUCAGAAGGAAUACCGAUUGCGAAGGCGAUCUACUGGAACAUUAUUGACGCUGAGACGCGAAAGCGUGGGGAGCAAACAGGAUUAGAUACCCGAGUAGUC